AGGUGGUCCCACUCCUUCCCAUCCCGAACAGGACAGUGAAACGCCUCAGCGCCGAUGAUAGUGCGGAUUCCCGUGUGAAAGUAGGACAUCGUCAGGC
rnacentral:rRNA from 1 species